rnacentral:rRNA from 1 species
UGGGCAACGGUAGGUCAGCAUGCCCCGAAUUAUCUGGGGCUACACGCGGGCUACAAUGGGUGGGACAAUGGGUAUCGACACCGAAAGGUGAAGGCAAUCUCCUAAACCCAUCCGUAGUUCGGAUUGUGGGCUGCAACUCGCCCACAUGAAGCUGGAAUCUGUAGUAAUCGUGUCUCAAAAUGGCACGGUGAAUAUGUCCCUGCUCCUU